rnacentral:lncRNA from 1 species
GAAGUAGGCUCGACGUCGGAUGUAGAUGUGUAGUGAGUGAGGAGACGAUAGAGAAGGAGAGAAUUGUCUGCCAAAUGUCUUCUUCCAUUCGGUACAUAAAUAGACAGUUUUAGACGGAAGUUUUGGCCUCCAGACAGACGAUGAUGGGCCCGUCUAGUUUGAGGUGGUCCGUUGUGAUAAUCUUCCUGGUCGAAUUGUGUUGCCUCCUCUGCAGAGCCUUCAAACAACCGUCCAGAUCCACACAUCUCCGUUUGGUGCACAGUCUGUCCAAUUCCACAGCAUAUUUCCUCGAGAAUGAUUACUACAUAACAUCCAACAGCAUGAAAGGUGAGUUAAAUUCGAACCAUAAUUUUAUAUAUCGUACUUAGAGUACAAAAAUAACAGAACGAAAAAGAAAAUCGAUAGCACUCAUCUGGUUAAUUUUUCGAAACGGUAAUUUGUAUUAACACCACGUUGGCAACAGAGUUGAGUAAUAAACGAGAUUGGGCAUAUUGCCUAAAUGCUACUUAAGAAAUUUCUACGCGAUGUUUUACCAUUACACUGGGUCGAAUUUUGAUUUUUUUUUACUGCUUCCACAUUUGCAUAAUUUAUAGAUUGUAACAGAAUAGUAAGCAAGGAUGUGUUCAAUUUUUUACGCUUUUCAAAGCUCUAAAAUUAACGAGUCGGCUUGCUUGCUUGUAAAUAUUGAUUUUCGCAAAUCUAAUUAUUUUUUCCCUCUCAGAAUUUUGUUUAAUUUAAAUAAGAGUUACAGAGUGUUAUUCUUUGGAAAAUCAAUAGCAGAUAAGAGGCUCUUUUCAGUGUUUUCCCUGUCACGCAGUGUCCCCCCGUGAAAAAAAACAGACCCAAUCAGUGACUGAGCCUCUCAAGGACGUUGUAAAUGUUGUAUACCUGCAGCAAUGGAUGGAGGCACGUGUUUUGUACUGCCGUAUAAUUGAGAGAGAGAGAGAGGGAACAAUGGAAACCAUCCUCCAUCGUGUCCAGAAAACUGGUUAGCUUUCCUAUUGUCAGAAAAGCGGCGUAGCAACUUUUUCACGCGAAAAAAUCAAAAAAUUUUGUAAAUUUUCCGAGUUUUAAAAAAGAAAAACAAAAUUUAAUCAUCUCGCUCCCAUAUUUCUCGAUCAAUAAUUUUGCCUACUUAUAAAGUAUUUCUAUCCGCUUCUGCCGCUUUCUUUCGCGAUUAGAUACUAAGCUCUUAAGAGGCCCUCCUCCGUCUUUAUGAAGUUGACAAGUUGUGAAAGGACAAAACCUGAUUGGAUUAUCUCUAAGAAGUUAAUCUAAAAUCGGAUUUGUUGAAAUGCGAUGAAAAAUCGAUUUCUAAAUCCUUCAAAAAAUCCGUGUAAUGUUAAAAAAUAAUCGAUUAUAAUUGAGAGUUUUUUUGGUCGGCUUCUUUCUUAGAGAAAUCGUCCAAAUUUAUUAUCUAAAUUUCAGAAC